GACGAACGCUGGCGGCGUGCUUAACACAUGCAAGUCGAGCGAACGGACGAGAAGCUUGCUUCUCUGAUGUUAGCGGCGGACGGGUGAGUAACACGUGGAUAACCCACCUAUAAGACUGGGAUAACUUCGGGAAACCGGAGCAAAUACCGGAUAAUAUUUUGAACCGCAUGGUUCAAAAGUGAAAGACGGUCUUGCUGUCACUUCUAGAUGGAUCCGCGCUGCAUUAGCUAGUUGGUAAGGUAACGGCUUACCAAGGCAACGAUGCAUAGCCGACGUGAGAGGGUGAUCGGCCACACUGGAGCUGAGACACGGUCCAGAGUCCUACGGGAGGCAGCAGUAGGGAAUCGUCCGCAAUGGGCGAAAGCCUGACGGAGCAACGCCGCGUGAGUGAUGGAGGUCUUGGGAUCGUAAAACUCGGUUAUGGGGGAAGAACAUAUGUGUAAGUAACUGUGCACAUCUUGACGGUACCUAGUCAGGAAGCCACGGCUAACUACGUG
rnacentral:rRNA from 1 species